rfam:Anas platyrhynchos breed Pekin duck contig88404, whole genome shotgun sequence.
AGUAUUUAUAUAUCCGGAGAAAGUUCUACAGUAAAUUCUGGAGAUCUUCGGUAUUUAAAUGUCAACAUCGAUUUGUUUAUUUAUUGCUUAGCUUAUCGUAACUGACUCAAUAACAAAUCUAAUCAUGUUGUGCACAGAAAAAAUAUUCUCAUUAUGUAUUUUCCCUACAUUAUAGUUAACUAUUACAUUUGAAUUCAAGCUGUAAAUUCAAUAUUAUCAAGUAAUUACU